CAAACGACUCUCGGCAACGGAUAUCCCGGCUCUCGCAUCGAUGAAGAACGUAGCGAAAUGCGAUACUUGGUGUGAAUUGCAGAAUCCCGUGAACCAUCGAGUUUUUGAACGCAAGUUGCGCCCGAUGCCUUUAGGCUGAGGGCACGUCUGCCUGGGUGUCACGU
rnacentral:rRNA from 1 species